AUUGAACGCUGGCGGCAGGCCUAACACAUGCAAGUCGAGCGGAGCGGCGGACGGGCGAGUAAUGCCUAGGAAUCUGCCUGGCAGUGGGGGAGAACGUCCGGAAACGGGCGCUAAUAACGCAUGCUAUCUAAUGAGUCUAGGCCUGAGUGGCUAGUUGGUGGGGUAAUGGCUGACCAAGGCGACGAUCCGUAACUGGCCUGAGAGGAUGAUCAGUCACACUGGAACUGAGACACGGUCCAGACUCCUACGGGAGGCAGCGGUGGGGAAUAUUGGGCAAUGGGCGAAAGCCUGAUCCAGCCAGGCCGCGUGUGUGAAGAAGGUCUUCGGAUUGUAAAGCACUUUAAGUUGGGAGGCGUUACCUAAAGAAUAAGCAACGGCUAACUUCGUGCCAGCAGCCGCGGUAAUAC
rnacentral:rRNA from 1 species